rnacentral:rRNA from 1 species
AUUGAACGCUGGCGGCAUGCUUUACACAUGCAAGUCGAACGGCAGCGCGGGCUUCGGCCUGGCGGCGAGUGGCGAACGGGUGAGUAAUGCAUCGGAACGUGCCCAGUAGUGGGGGAUAGCCCGGCGAAAGCCGGAUUAAUACCGCAUACGACCUGAGGGUGAAAGCGGGGGACCGAAAGGCCUCGCGCUAUUGGAGCGGCCGAUGUCGGAUUAGCUAGUUGGUGGGGUAAAGGCUUACCAAGGCAACGAUCCGUAGCUGGUCUGAGAGGACGACCAGCCACACUGGGACUGAGACACGGCCCAGACUCCUACGGGAGGCAGCAGUGGGGAAUUUUGGACAAUGGGGGCAACCCUGAUCCAGCCAUGCCGCGUGCGGGAAGAAGGCCUUCGGGUUGUAAACCGCUUUUGUUCGGGAAGAAAUCCUCUGGGCUAAUACCCCGGGGGGAUGACGGUACCGGAAGAAUAAGCACCGGCUAACUACGU